rnacentral:rRNA from 1 species
CCUACGGGAGGCAGCAGUGAGGAAUAUUGGUCAAUGGCCGAGAGGCUGAACCAGCCAAGUCGCGUGAGGGAAGACGGCCCUACGGGUUGUAAACCUCUUUUGUCGGGGAACAACGCGCACCACGUGUGGUUCAUUUCGCGUACCCUAAGAAAAAGCGUCGGCUAACUCCGUGCCAGCAGCCGCGGUAAUACGGAGGAGGCGAGCGUUAUCCGGAUUUAUUGGGUUUAAAGGGUGCGCAGGCGGGGGUGCAAGUCAGCGGUCAAAUCGCGGGGCUCAACCCCGUACUGCCGUUGAAACUGCAUCCUUUGAGUGCGCGAGAGGUAGGCGGAAUGCGUGGUGUAGCGGUGAAAUGCAUAGAGAUCACGAGGAACUCCGAUUGCGAAGGCAGCAGGCCGGCGCGCAACUGACGCUCAUGCACGAAAGCGUGGGUAUCGAACAGGAUUAGAUACCCGAGUAGUC